AUUGAACGCUGGCGGCAGGCCUAACACAUGCAAGUCGAGCGGAUGAAGGGAGCUUGCGCCUGGAUUCAGCGGCGGACGGGUGAGUAAUGAAUAGGAAUGUGCCUGGGAGUGGGGGAUAAGGUCCGGAAACGGGCCCUAAUCCCGCAUACGUCCUGAAGGAGAAAGAGAGGGAUCUUCGGACCUCACGCUAUUAGAUGCGCCCAGGUCGGAUUGGCUUGUGGGUGGGGUAAAGGCCUACCAAGGGGACGAACCGUACCUGGUCUGAGAGGAUGAUCCGGAACACUGGAACUGAGACAGGGUCCAGAUCCUUACGGGGGGCGCCGGUGGGGAAUAUUGGACAGUGACCGAAAUCCUGCUCCAGCCCUGCCCCGUGUUUGAGGAAGGUUUCCGGAUGUUAAAGCACUUUGAGUUGGGAGGAAGGUCAGUAAGUUGAUACCUUGCUCUUUUGACGGUACCAACAGAAAAAGCGCCGGCUAACUUCGUG
rnacentral:rRNA from 1 species